AUGCCAAGCUGGCUCAGGGGGCUCUGCCCUGAGCUCCCAGGAGCUCCCAGGCUGCAGAUGCCAAUGCUCAGCCACACCAGGACACUGCCCUCACCACCACCAGCAGUGCCAGCACCAGCAGCAGCAGCAGUGCCAGCACCAGCAGUGCCAGCACCAGCAGUGCCAGCACCAGCAGCAGUGCCACCAGCAGUGCCAGCACCAGCAGCAGCAGUUGCCUCUGAGCUGUUGGUGCCCCUGCACUGCUGCCCCUCCCACUGGUACCAAUGUUCCAUCCCUGCCCUGGAGACAGCCCUGGAGUCCAUCCCUGAGGUCACAGAGCCAUGGAAUCCCAGGGUUCCAGGUCUGGGGAAUCCCAGAGUCAUGGAGUCCUGGGGAACCACGCUCAUCUUGGAUGCUGAGAUGAUGACCUCUGUUGUUUUGACUGCCACUCAUGUAACACCUGACAGUGUGGAUCUAAAAUGUGCAGCCAGUCUUGUGAAUGGCAGAUAGGAACAUGGAAGUGCAAGGAGGAAAAUCCUGAGUACUCAAAGGAAGGAACUUGUCAGCAGGUACUGUGUUCAAGAUCAGACAGGGGCUUUUUUUUUUUUUUUUUUCUCUACCAUUUUAGCAUGAAAUCAAUGGGGAAUGCAUAAUUUUUCAGAUGUGUCUGAUAUUGCACAGCAAAUGGUCACCAAUGAGACUCUCAGCUGCCACACAAUCUGGCACAGCUCCUUUCUGCUCCAUAGCUCCCAGUUGCAUUCAGCCCACUGUCGAUGUGAUGCCUCCUUUUGGCUCCUUGCCCAUCUGUUUUAGUAAUUACUGUCAUAUAAACUGAUAUUUCUAGACUAGAAACCAUGUUGUUGUGAGAAAAGCCCAUUGGAGUUACCUUUUGUGAUGUGUUCAAGCAGCUCACUGACUUCUUAUUUUAAACUGUAAAAUUUGCAUCAACAUUUCCUACAGUAUAUAGAGAAGGAUACUUUUUUUUGUUUUGGAAUGCAAGGAGUUGUAAUGAAAUAGAAUCAGAAUUUGAUAAUGCUUCCUUUUUAUCAUGGCUAUGGUACUUUCAUAGUUUUAGCUCUUUUUUUCCCCCCCCUUUUUUUUUUUUUUUUUUUUUUUUUUUUUUUUUUAGGAUCACAAAAAAACGGUGUCCUUGAAUAAAGUAUUUGUGUUAAUAAGUAUUGGCAGACAUAAUUUUUAAAGUGUAAAAUAUACAAAGAAGUGGUUUGCCCUAUCCAAAUCAUCCAUUAGCACAACAGGACCAUCCAAAAUGACAUCAUCACAUAUGCCAGCUAAAGCACAAAGGUUUCAAGAGGGUGAAGAGCAGCUUUACACUGACAGAAAUUGAGUAGAAUCAAAGGUGAGUUAAAAGAAAGGCUCAGACAACAUCCUAUCACCAACUUAACCCAUUAACAGCCCCAGGGCAGUGGCACAGGAGCCAACACAAAUAUCAGUGAGGUGUGCCAAGGGGCCAGAUGCCAUCAGCUGGCAUCUGUGCCUUCAGCCUGGCAGCCACAGGGGGAGGAGAAGCUGGGCAAGCAGAGGGGGCUGCAGAGAAAGGGCUUCUCUCCCCUUUCCCUCUCUUCAUAGCAGGGUUCUUUGGGAAAGUUGGUAAUGAGAGUAGAGAGAACUCGGGCAUUUCC
ensembl:lncRNA